AUUGAACGCUGGCGGCAUGCCUUACACAUGCAAGUCGAACGGUAACAGGUCUUCGGAUGCUGACGAGUGGCGAACGGGUGAGUAAUACAUCGGAACGUGCCCAGACGUGGGGGAUAACGAGGCGAAAGCUUUGCUAAUACCGCAUACGAUCUAAGGAUGAAGGCAGGGGACCGCAAGGCCUUGCGCGUUUGGAGCGGCCGAUGGCAGAUUAGGUAGUUGGUGGGAUAAAAGCUUACCAAGCCGACGAUCUGUAGCUGGUCUGAGAGGACGACCAGCCACACUGGGACUGAGACACGGCCCAGACUCCUACGGGAGGCAGCAGUGGGGAAUUUUGGACAAUGGGCGAAAGCCUGAUCCAGCAAUGCCGCGUGCAGGAUGAAGGCCUUCGGGUUGUAAACUGCUUUUGUACGGAACGAAAAGGCUCUGGCUAAUACCUGGGGCACAUGACGGUACCGUAAGAAUAAGCACCGGCUAACUACGUG
rnacentral:rRNA from 1 species